rnacentral:rRNA from 1 species
AGUGAACGCUGGCGGUAGGCCUAACACAUGCAAGUCGAACGGCAGCACAGUAAGAGCUUGCUCUUACGGGUGGCGAGUGGCGGACGGGUGAGGAAUACAUCGGAAUCUACUUUUUCGUGGGGGAUAACGUAGGGAAACUUACGCUAAUACCGCAUACGACCUACGGGUGAAAGCGGGGGAUCUUCGGACCUUGCGCGAUUGAAUGAGCCGAUGUCGGAUUAGCUAGUUGGCGGGGUAAAGGCCCACCAAGGCGACGAUCCGUAGCUGGUCUGAGAGGAUGAUCAGCCACACUGGAACUGAGACACGAUCCAGACUCCUACGGGAGGCAGCAGUGGGGAAUAUUGGACAAUGGGCGCAAGCCUGAUCCAGCCAUACCGCGUGGGUGAAGAAGGCCUUCGGGUUGUAAAGCCCUUUUGUUGGGAAAGAAAAGCAGCAGGUUAAUACCCCGCUGUUCUGACGGUACCCAAAGAAUAAGCACCGGCUAACUUCGUG